rnacentral:rRNA from 1 species
AUGAUGAUCCUUGGAUGGAAAUGUCGAGGUCUCGGGCAGCCUCACACAGUUCAUGAACUUGUGUGCCUCGUGCACACCUACAAGCCCAAUCUUGUUUUCCUUUCUGAAACCCGGCAAACAAAAUAUGUCAAGGAUCUAAAGUGGAGGCUCAGCCAUCGUCACUGUAUCAUGCAACCCGGCAUCAGAAAAGGUGUCGGCAUUGCCCUCUUCUAUGAUGAGAGUGUAGAAAUAAAGAAGAUUUCCUUGGGGACGAGAUAUAUCGACGUACUAAUUCGCUUGAGCCCACAGGGUAUGCAGUGGUGCAGUACAUUUGUGUACGGAGAACCUAAGGCUCAUGAACGACACCACAUGUGGACCUUGUUCCGGAGAAUAAAAGAUACAAACAACCUUCCUUGGAUGAUGAUGGGGGAUUUCAACGAGACUUUGUGGCAAUCCGAACACUUCUCAGCCACGAAGAGAUCCGAGAGGAACAUGGAAAACUUUAGGAAAGUUUUGUCGGACUGUAAUUUGUUUGACAUGGGAUACAAAGGGCCGAGUUGGACCUAUAAUAAUAAACAAGAUGGUUGUGAAAAUGCGAGAGCACGCCUGGAUAGAUGUGUGGCGUCCCCGGAAUGGUCUGACUACUUUAAGGAGGCCAUAGUGGAGCAUAUUUGUUCCUCAUGGUCUGACCACCUCCCUAUUCUUCUACGGAUUGGGGGCCGGAAAGAAUGGUGGCCGGUGGGAGAGAGAAACAACAGCGUGUUCAGGUACGAGCAGAUGUGGGAACGUGUAGGUUCCUUGCAACCCACUAUUGAUGUGGUUUGGAAAAGAGACGGCCUAGCUGAGAAUCUGCAGCAGGUAGGUACCAAGUUGAAAUAUAUGCAAACUGAACUGAAAAAUUGGGCUGCUAGGGACUUUGGCUCGGUGGUAAAAACACGGCAGAAAUAA